GAAUGGAGGAAUCUGGCCAGAGCUGUGCCCCUGCUUGCCACAGGAGCUGCGCGGGAGGAGAAGAAUGUGGGCCAAAAGAUUUGUUUUGCUUGCAGGUGUUCCACUUUGGCUUUGUAUGACACAGUGGACGAGAGGGUACGGCGUUCAGUGGAACAAACACUGCAGACCCUGGGGAGAAUCAAAGCAGGAGAGAGGAAAUGUGCCCUUUGCAGCAGGGGCCCUUGUGCUGGCAUUACCCAUCGCAUCCACUGCUGCUGUGGUCCUUUCUUUCCUUUGGGCAGUUUGCUGUCUCUCAAGGUGUUGUCUACAAUAGGUGCUUGUUUGUGUAUCCGUGUGAGGCUGUUGAAUAAAAUUCCUACCUCUG